GGGCCCGCACAAGCGGUGGAGCAUGUGGUUCAAUUCGAAGCAACGCGAAGAACCUUACCAGCCCUUGACUUGGGGAGUGUGGGUCGCAGAGACGUGACCCUUCAGUUCGGCUGGCUCCCACACAGGUGCUGCAUGGCUGUCGUCAGCUCGUGUCGUGAGAUGUUGGGUUAAGUCCCGCAACGAGCGCAACCCUCAUCUUCAGUUGCCAUCGGUAUGGCCGGGCACUCUGAAGAAACUGCCGGUGACAAGCCGGAGGAAGGCGGGGAUGACGUCAAGUCCUCAUGGCCCUUACGGGCUGGGCUACACACGUGCUACAAUGGCGGUGACAAUGGGAUGCAAAGGGGCGACCCUGAGCCAAUCCCAAAAAGCCGUCUCAGUUCGGAUUGCACUCUGCAACUCGAGUGCAUGAAGUCGGAAUCGCUAGUAAUCGCGGAUCAGCACGCCGCGGUGAAUACGUUCCCGGGCCUU
rnacentral:rRNA from 1 species